UGGGGAAUAUUGCACAAUGGGCGCAAGCCUGAUGCAGCCAUGCCGCGUGUAUGAAGAAGGCCUUCGGGUUGUAAAGUACUUUCAGUCGGGAGGAAGGUGUCAAGGUUAAUAACCUUGGCAAUUGACGUUACCGACAGAAGAAGCACCGGCUAACUCCGUGCCAGCAGCCGCGGUAAUACGGAGGGUGCAAGCGUUAAUCGGAAUUACUGGGCGUAAAGCGCACGCAGGCGGUUGAUUGAGUCAGAUGUGAAAUCCCCGGGCUUAACCCGGGAAUUGCAUCUGAUACUGGUCAGCUAGAGUCUUGUAGAGGGGGGUAGAAUUCCAUGUGUAGCGGUGAAAUGCGUAGAGAUGUGGGGGAAUGCCGGUGGCGAAGGCGGCCCCCUGGACAAAGACUGACGCUCAGGUGCGAAAGCGUGGGGAGCAAACAGG
rnacentral:rRNA from 1 species